CCUACGGGGCGCAGCAGUGGGGAAUAUUGGACAAUGGGCGAAAGCCUGAUCCAGCCAUGCCGCGUGUGUGAAGAAGGCCUUCGGGUUGUAAAGCACUUUCAGUGGGGAAGAAAGCCUUGGGGCUAAUACCCUCGAGGAAGGACAUCACCCACAGAGAAGCACCGGCUAACUCCGUGCCAGCAGCCGCGGUAAUACGGAGGGUGCGAGCGUUAAUCGGAAUUACUGGGCGUAAAGCGCGCGUAGGCGGUCUGAUAAGCCGGUUGUGAAAGCCCCGGGCUCAACCUGGGAACGGCAUCCGGAACUGUCAGGCUAGAGUGCAGGAGAGGAAGGUAGAAUUCCCGGUGUAGCGGUGAAAUGCGUAGAGAUCGGGAGGAAUACCAGUGGCGAAGGCGGCCUUCUGGACUGACACUGACGCUGAGGUGCGAAAGCGUGGGUAGCAAACAGGAUUAGAUACCCUGGUAGUC
rnacentral:rRNA from 1 species